UCUCUCUCUCUCUCUCUCUCUCUCUCUCUCUCUCUCUCUCUCUCUCUCUCUCUCUCCCCCUCAUUCUCUCUGUCUCUGUCUCUCUCCAACUCUUUCCAUCGGUUUCUCUCUGUCCCUCCUCCUCUUUUUCCCAUCUCUAUCUCUCUCCAUCAUUUUCUCUCCAUCUGUCUCUGUCUCUCUCCAUUUAUGUGUGUCUCUGUGUCAGUCUUUCUCUCCCUUUCUCUGUGUCUCCAUCUCUCUCUCCUUCCUUCCAUCACUACCCCCUCCUCACACAAAGUCUUGGCAAUGAGAAAACAGAAGGCACACUCAGCAUCCGGCCCCUAACUCCCUGUCCCAUUUUCCCUAGCCCUCCCCCCUUUCUCUCUCUUGUCCCCCUAGGAAAACUGUUAUGGCUGGAGGUGUUGAAAUGACUAAUUGGACUGAGACAAUUAUCUUUCUGCUUCUGACAGCAAAAAGGGGGAGGGUGUAUGUGUGUCCAUGUCUGUAUGAGGAAACUGAGGAAGUCAGAGAUUAAAUAACUUGCCCAGAUUCACACAGUGAACUAACAUGUGAGAACCCUUCUGGCAAGAGGAUCACUCUUGAUGUUGGGCACACCAGUUACAUUGCUUCUGGUCCUCCCAGGACAAGACUCAGACUCUCCCCUCCAAAGCCAACAAUGUGCACUUGAUAGAAUGUGGUUCCUCUGUCCAAGACAACUAGAGGAGACAGGGGCAGACAGAAUGAUGGAGACAAAGAGACAGAGAAGGUGGCCCAGCCAGAAGAAAGGAAAGAUAGAAGCGGCAUCUUCCUAGUCAGCUUCCUUUGAUGUCUUUGCUAAAAUCCCAGCUACAGAGAGAUCUAAUUGCAAAUGAACUAAUUAAGUAAACCUCUGACGAAGCGUGAAAACAAUUUGUUUGACCCUGAUGCUGCAAGGGGCUGGGAGACAGCAGAGUUAAUCAGUCAGUGACAGAGCCUGGCACCACUGUGGCAGCACCAACCGCCUGUCCGCCCCCCUGCCUACCUGUCCACCUGCCUCCUCUAGACCUCAUCACUCUGCUGUCAGGUUCUCCUGACCCUUGACUGGGGAGACUGGGAGGAUAUAGGAGAUAGAGACUGUUCCCUGCUUGCCCUUCAACCUGUUCCAUAUCUCCCUAGGAGGGAGAGGAGCUACUCUGAUUCCACAGAAGCUGGCUAGAGGGAGGUCCAGGUUCAACAGGUGCUGCUGUUGCAGCUGCUGCAUCUGAAGGAGCUGUUGCUGGAAAGCUAGCUGCUUGUUCCCAAGUGCCUGCUUCCCGGAAAGCGAUGGUGCAAGAAAUGUCUAAUCAGGCCUUUCGUCAUUGAAGCCAUGUGUUCUCUGCUCUCCACCACCUCCCACCGCAACCCUCUCUGUCUCCUUUCAGCUUUGUCCCCUCCCUUUCUCAAGGACUGAAGUCCUUCCUGAACACGCAGUAGUUUCUUACAUACACCUAUUGCAUCAAGUCAUUCUCUCCCAUCCCAUGCCUUCUUUCCCAGGGCCAUACUCUAUACUCCUCCCUUCUAUUCAGUGCAGUAAGGGCAAGAACAGAUGCUAAGCUCUCUCGAUCUCUGCCUCCUCCUGGCCCAUCAUAAGGCUGUGGGUGCCACUAUGCCCUAGAAUUCUACCGGGCUGAUUUGAGGGGUUGCCCUAUCAUCUUCUUCCUCCAAAAGCCUCAGCUUUGGGAAUAGUCAUUGGCACAUGGGGCAAUGCUGAAAAGGGGGACGACUUUUCUUUCCCUUGGUCUGUCCCUUCUUAUGCCUUUCUCUCAUUUUUUUCCUCUAUUUCACUCUUCUGUCUAUUCUUUCCUCUUGUUGGAUCUUUAUCUCUCCACUUCUUUCCUUUCUACUUUUUUUUCUUCUCUUCUGAUCUUUCUUCUCCUUUCUCUGCUUCCUUCUACUCUUCAAGAUCAAAAGAAGGAAUGGACCUUAGACAUCAUCUAUUCCAAUUCCCUCAUUUCCCAGAUAAAGAAACAGACCCAAGGAGAUUAAAGCCAAAGUUAGUAAGUAAGGUAGUAAGUUGCUAGACCGAAAUUUGAACCCAGAUUCUCUGAGUUCUUAAAAUUCAUUACUCUUUCCAAUGUUUCUUUCCUUUGUUAAUUUUUUUAACCCCUUAUCUUCUGUCUUAGUAUCAAUUCUAUUAUGGAAGAAUAAGAGCUAGGCAACUGGGGUUAAGUAACUUGCCCAAGGUCAUACAGGUAGGAAGUGUCUGAGGCUAGAUUUGAACCCAGGACCUCCUGACUCUAGGCCUAGUGCUCUAUACACUGUACUGCCUAAGCUACCUCUUACUGCUUUCUUCUUACUAAAUCACAGAACUUAGAAUAAGAAGAUCACCUAGACAAUAUAUUUUACACAGCUCAGGAAUCAUCCCUGAUAUAGUCUUAUAAUCUGCUGAAAUAGAGAUACAGAUGAGAAGCUUACUCCCUGUUAAGGCAACACAUUCCAUAUUUAUUAUUGUUCAAUCAUUUUUUGGUCAUGUCCAACUCUUUCUGACUGCAGUCAGGGUUUCUUGACAAAGAUACUAGAUUUUCCAUUUCCUUUCCUCCUUUCCUUCUUUUUUGCCUUUCCUUUCCUUCUUCAGCUCAUUUGACAGAUGAGGAAACUGAGGCAAAUAGGGUGAAGUGACUUGCCUGGAGCCACAAGCUAGUAAGUGUAUAAGGACAAAUUUGAACUCAGAAAGAUGAAUCUUUCUAACUUCAGAUUCAGCACUAUCCACUUAGCCACCUAUAUGAUCUACAUUUCAUAUUUAGACAAUGAAUUCUUUAGAAAGUUCUUCCUUCUACUGAGCCCAAAUCUUUCUUCCUCUAACUUCCACCCUUUGGUACUCAUCUUGCCCUUUGGAGCUAUGAAAAAUACAUUUAUUCUCUACUUCAUCUGACAGGCUUCUAAAUACUUAAAGACAGCCAACAUACCCCCAUCCCUACCUAUUCCCAAGUCUUCCCUACUCCAGACUAAACACAUCCCAUUCCUUAAGCUAUUUAUUCUCUUUAUAACGUGGUUUCCAGACCACUCACCAUCCUGGUCACCCUUCUCUGGUCUCACUGCUAUAUGUCAAUGUCUCUUUUAUCUCAUCUGGAUAAUCAGAAAAACUUCUCUCUAGAAGCUAGGGGUUCUCUCUGGGGAGGACAGAGGUCACCAACAAGCAAGAUAAAGCCCACGAUAACAUGUUCAAUUAUUUCAAUAUGCCAACACACACACACACAUACAUACACACACACACACACACACACACACACACACACACACACACACACACACCCUAAACACACAGCCAUAUAUACGUAGGCAUGUCUCUGCCUGGAACAACUGACCACAGAAACCUCUGGGGAGAGAUAUCAGGCUGGGGCUAGAAGUGAAGUGUACCAUUCCUGUCCCACCAACCUUCUCUUCCCUCCUCACCCCUGCCCAGCAGCAGACCCACUGGAGUAGAAGUAUAGCUACACCCAGCCAACAGCCACACACAACUCUGCCUUCCACGCACACACAGAUUCAAACAGGGGCAUUUCUGCACAGGCAGAAACAUGUCAGUCAGUCAGCAAAGCUUUAUGGGUGCCUCCGGGGCUAUGCUCACUUUGGGCACUUGCAAGUUAAGAAUAAAUGCUGCCUGCUUGGGGCUUGCUAGUUAUUGGAAAAUAAAACAAAGGAUCACACAUUUGCGAAGUCCCCAUUAGAGUGAAAGCUUCUGGGACUGACUUUUCUGUUUGUAUCCCAGCCCUUAGCACAGUAUUUUAUACAUAUUUAUUUGUUAUCAGUUUUUCAGUUGUGUCCAAUUCUUUGUGAUUCCAAAGAGGAUUUUCUUGACAAAGAUACUGUAGUAAUUUGCUGUUUCUUCUCCAGCUCAUUUGAUAGAUGAGGAAACUGAGGCAAACGAGGCUAAGUGAAACUGUCCAUGGUCAUAUAGAUAGUAAGCUUCUAAGAUCAAAUUUGAAUUCACUCUAUUCAUUACACCACUUAGUUGCCCCAAUGUGUUUUACACAUGAUGAGCAUUUGAUGUCAGUCAUUCAUUCAGAGCUGAAAGAACCCUUAAAAGUCAUCAAAGCCCUCAUUUUAAAGAGAUGUUGAGUGACUUAUCCAGGGUCACACAGCUACUAAAUAUGUAAGGCAGGAUUUGAAUCCAGAUUUUCCUGACUCUAAGACCAUUGCCUUAUACUGUAAUAUCAUGCUGGCAAGCCAAAGUACCUGAGAAGAGAUACUAGAAAUGGUAUAGUAAAUGUGAGAGUGGUUGAAGUAUCAAAAGAGCCACCAAUUAUCUUGUUAUACUAGAUAUCUCUUUGCUUCCAAUCAUGGAAGGUCCCCUGGAGGAGGUUGCUUAGAACCAUCUUUUUUUCUCCCAACAUGGGAGAAAGAAGGUUGCUCUAGACACAGAGUAGAAGGUGAGGGGCACAGAAAGAAAAGUGUGGCUUGGAUAGAGUGGGUAGGUUUUAGGCUAAGGGAAUUCAGAAAUGAGAAGUAAAGAGAUGAAGUAAAUAGAAGUAAGCUUAAAGGUUGAGGAAACCUAGCAGUGGGCAAGCUGGUAAGUAGAAAGGCACAAUGUUGAGAUCCACAGAAAAGACUUUAAGAGAAUGGAAGAAAUGGUGCAAAAGUAUAAAAACCAUGUUUGGCCCCAAAGAAGGGCUAUGAGGUUCUCUAUAUUCCCCGCUUUCCCCAUCCUUUGCAGAGAUGGGGAAUAAAGAGGGACAGUUCAUGAGUAUGAGCCAUUGCUUGUAAUAUCAGACUUUUCCUGGGUUGAAUUGUUUUGCUAAUGUUUCUUUUCACUCUUUCAUCUUAAAAAAAUCCUUUGUUUUAAGGAAUGGCUCUGGGAAGGCAUAUAAUGGAAAAUAUAGAUGAUUUUUAAAAAGAAAUCCUUAAAAUCUAUUUUUUUAAAUAAUAGAAAGAUUCCUUCUGAAAACUCAAUGUACAUAAAACUAGGUUUUAUCCAUAGCAUGAACUACACCCUCACAACUAAAUUCCCACACGAUUAUCCCACAUAGUAAAAGGGAACCCAAUUUAUCAGAUGGUAGUCUGGAUAUAAGAUAGCACAUAGGAUAAAAGGAAAGAAAGAGGAAUAGAGCAGAAUGGGAGAAAACUCAUCACCAACUAGAUAGCUAGGUGGCAAAGGAGUAAGAGCCUAGAGUCAGGAAGAUUUGAGUUUAAAUUCAGCCUCAAGAUACUUACUAGCUUUAUGACACUUAACUUCUAUCUGCCUCAGUUUCCUUAACUGAAAAAUGGGGAUAAUAAUAGUACAUGUAUCCCUUCCACAUUGGGAGGAUUAGGGAUGCAUUGCCCCCAUGAUCUGGAAAAUCCACAUAAAAUUUAUUGAUCCUCCUUUUCAGACCAGAGAAGUCUGAAUUUUUUUCUUUUUCUUUUAUAAGGUGUUUACAGUAAAAGAAAUCGUGUCUAUUUGUAUUAGAAGAUACAAUAUGUUGACAAUGUACAAUCCUAUACACAUAUUUUAUGCAUUUCUUAGUUUCUAAACUUCUUCUGUGUCAUCUACUGGCCUUUGCGUGUCAUCUGUGACUUCUGCAAAAUUCCCAUUUAAUUUCUUAUGCCAACCAGAGAUAUAUGGAAAUUGUGAUGGGGAGGACUGUGAUGUAGAAGAGAUAUCUGUACUUACUUUCCAGAAUUGUUGUGAGGAUUAGUUUUAAAGCAUUUAGGAGCUAUAAAAAUGUUAGCUUAUGAGAAUGAUGAUGAAAAUCUGGCCUCAGAUACUUCCUGGCUGGGUGAUCCUGGGUAAGUUAUUUAACCUCUGUUUGCCUCAGUGUCUUCAUAUGAAAAAUGAGGAUAACAACAGCACCUCCCUCCCAGGGUUGUCUUGAGAGUCAGAGAUAAUAUCUGUAAAACACUUAGCACAGUGACUGGCACACAGUAGGGGUUUAAUCUUCAACUACGUCCCUCCCAUGGGCUUCCCAGUUCCCUAGGAAGGGCUUAAGGGAAAGUUAGUUAGGAGAGGAAUGGAGGGAAAGAAGGGGGCCAGGGCUAGGGCCUCACACCCCUCACCCACGCCUCUUACCUCUUUGGGUUGCUGUUUCCCAGCUUGCUGCUGGGUGAGGAGCUGUAAAUGAAGCUGCUCUUGUUGUUUCUUAUAAUAUUCCUGUAGCUGAGGAGCAAGGGAGGGGUGGGAAUAGGUCACAGAAGGAAGAAAAAAUAAACAAAUAAACAAACCAUAGUCUGAGUUGCUUUCCUUCUUCCUCUACCCCAUCCCCACCCACCAACCCUGGCCUCCUCACCACCCUAAAGUGAGGGUGGAGAAUUGAAUUCGACUUGCUUGGCAAAAUGGAUGCAGGAGUCCAGGCAGAUAUAACCCUUUCCCAGGGAAAAAGCACUUGCCCUGGUUUCAGAGGACCUGGAUUCAAAGCUGAUGCUUACUCCCUGGAUGACCCUGGGAGAGUCAUGUGUAAAAUGAGGAGGAGAGAUUAAAAUGGCUCGGAAGGUCUUUCCAAUCAGUCUCUAGACCUCAGAUCCAAUUGUUUGGCCCCUGGAGGCUGAGAACAACUUCUGGGGAAUGUGGUGGGGCCAGAGGAAAAGAGGUGGUAGGCAGGACAGACUUGGUGUCUAGUGUCAAUCACAAGAAGGGAUUCUUUCUCAAGGGAGGGUCUCUGCACUGCCCAGAUACACAUGGGGCUUUUGUGCCGGGGAAGGAGAUCUCCUGUACGGGUCACAGAGCCCUAAUUUUAUUAUUAUUAUUUUGCUCAGGCCCAGAGCUCUGGGGAGGACUGGCACAUCAGAGGCCCCAGGAUACAAUGGGAAAGAGAGCAGAGUGUGAGAAGCAUAACCCUCCACAAAGAAGAAAGAAGAAAUGACCUCUAACCUGCAUCCAGCUGUUCUAGAAGAAUGCAAGCCUGUCUAGCCUGAGUGGUUUCCCUAACUGUCAAACAGGAGGAAAAUGAAUCCUAGAGAGAGGAUUUGUCCAAGAUCACAUGAAGAGCCCAGAUGCAAUCCUACAUCCAGUGACAGACAGUUUCAGCCUGGCCAGUCUUCCCUUUCUCUGAAUUCCUGCAGUAUUUGGCUGUCUUCAUUGUUUUAUGCAUAUAUUCUCAUUUUCCCAGCUAUAAUAAAAAUCUGAAUUCAAGGGAACCCAACUACAAACUCCUCAUUAAUAA